UGGCGACAUCGUUCUGUCGCUUCGGUUUUAUCGAAGAGGAAAGUCCGGGCAACACAGAGCAUCAUACUGCCUAACGGGCAGGCAAUCGGUAAAAUGAUUGACAGCAAGUGCCACAGAAAAUAACCGCCUUCUCUUGAGGGUAAGGGUGAAAACGUGAGGUAAGAGCUUACGAAGCAGAUUAGUGAUAGUCUGGUUGGGUAAACCUUAUGAGUUGAAAGACCAAAUAUAUCAGAGUUAAGGAUUGCUCGUCCGUUUCUGAGGGGUAGGUCGUUAGAGGUUUGUCGUAAGGCAUUCAGUAGAUUAAUGACGGAAGCAGGGAAACCUGAACAGAACCCGGCUUACAGAUGUCGCCAAAUG
rnacentral:RNase_P_RNA from 1 species